rnacentral:lncRNA from 1 species
UAGCAGUAUUUUUGCCGGUUCAGGUUGGAAGGUGAUGCAGCAGAAAAACUUGCAUUCGUACACUCUUUGCCUGGUGGGGAAACUGGUGCAUAUAUAUCCAUAGUGACACAGCUGCAGGGGCAGCCUCUGAGUCACUGGGGACUGCUUGCAAUCUGAAAUGGUUUUUGUAUGUAAUGUCUGCAGGGUUCAGCUCUGGGUAUGAGUCAGAAACAGCCGUAGAGUACAAAUUCAGCACCUAACAUUGGAAGCCAGCAAUUCUCAAUUAAAUGGAAUUGCUUUCAAACUUACUGUCUACCUUGAAAUGCUUUUUGAAUCUUCGCUUGCUUUGGAGAGAGCAAAAAUCUCAGGUGGUUUGAAAGGGAAGAAAUUUGGAGAGAACUUCUGAGCACUUGGAUCAGCUGGGCAAUGAGGGUGACAGACUGACAGGUUUAGAUCACAGCGAUUCUGUGCUCUUGGUCUGGUGCUCACGAAGGAGUGUUUGCUGAAUGAUGACUAAAUUCAAAUAACAGAGGAAAAUGCAGCUGCAAAAAUGACCAGAUUGCUUCUGCCAUGUGUAUGGGAAGGUGGAGGGACGCAGUGCAGAAAUGAGAGAGGAGCUUGUCCCUGGAUCAGUGGAGGAUUUCCUCGGUCGUGUUCUGUGUGUGUGCUGAGCUGGGCUCUUUGCUUCUCGUUCUUACACCGAAUGUGAGCAGCAGCUUUGUUUCAAUUAUUUAUUCACAGAGGCAUACAAGGAUGACCUUAAUAGGUCAAAUAUGAAGUCUGCAUGAUUGGCAUCCUGUCUCUAUGAUAAGCAGUGUACAGGAGUAAAAGAAAUCAUGCUUAUAUGGAGCAAUUCUUCCCUGAUCCAGUUUUUCUGCUUCUGAAGGAUCUACAGUACGAAGUGACUUAAUUGUACUUCUGUAUCUUAGGGUGCUGGGGCUGGUGUUGGAGGGCACUUCUCAUCUUUCUAAUAAAAUUAAUCAGUGCACUUUCACUUCCAGGUACCGCAAAGCGAAGCGCCUCAUUAAACAGGCUGAAUAACAAAGUUCCUCUGCACUCUCAGCAGUCAGCAGUCAAAGGUUCACAGGUGGAACAGAAAGGAGGAGCAGAAAAGAAGAGGAGCACAUCUUUGAAUAGAAUGAGUAGUAAACCCCAUCCUUCUCCUGAACUAGAAAAAGUGAAAAAGGAAGAAAAAACAGGUGGUUGUUUCAUAAAGCUGAAUUCCUCUUUUAAAACCCAUUCCCAGUAAAGUCUGGAUAGGCCUGCGCUCACUGGUGCCUUUGGUUCUGAGACCUUCAGGACUUUUUAAGGGCUUUUUAGUUACCCAGCAGUAGAGAUAAAAGAGUAAAGAUAGAAUUUCCUCCUUUGGACAAAAAAAAAACCAAAAAAAUCCUGUAAGAAGGACACGAGUUUGGAUUGGGCUCUAAGCAGAUGGUAAAUUGUCUCUGCUGAGAAGAGAGAUGUGUAUUUGGAAGCUGGUAGGACUCGGCUAUAGUAAAUGUCAGUGGUGUGUUCACUUCUGGUUAAACCUCACUUCUGCUUUUUAAGUCCCUUUCAUGGUUCAGUUUAACAGCAUCUUCUCUGGUCCUGCUGCUGGUCUAAACUCUGCAUGUGAAUGAUGGAGGAAACCUG